rnacentral:rRNA from 1 species
AUUGAACGCUGGCGGCAUGCCUUACACAUGCAAGUCGAACGGCAGCAUAGGAGCUUGCUCCUGAUGGCGAGUGGCGAACGGGUGAGUAAUAUAUCGGAACGUGCCCUAGAGUGGGGGAUAACUAGUCGAAAGACUAGCUAAUACCGCAUACGAUCUACGGAUGAAAGUGGGGGAUCGCAAGACCUCAUGCUCCUGGAGCGGCCGAUAUCUGAUUAGCUAGUUGGUGGGGUAAAAGCCUACCAAGGCAACGAUCAGUAGCUGGUCUGAGAGGACAACCAGCCGCACUGGGACUGAGACACGGCCCAGACUCCUACGGGAGGCAGCAGUGGGGAAUUUUGGACAAUGGGGGCAACCCUGAUCCAGCAAUGCCGCGUGAGUGAAGAAGGCCUUCGGGUUGUAAAGCUCUUUUGUCAGGGAAGAAACGGUAGUAGCGAAUAACUACUACUAAUGACGGUACCUGAAGAACAAGCACCGGCUAACUACGUGCCAGCAGCCGCCGUAACAC